GGGGGAUUAGCUCAGUUGGCUAGAGCGCUUGCCUUGCACGCAAGAGGUCAAGGGUUCGACUCCCUUAUUCUCCA
rnacentral:tRNA from 1 species